UUAAAAGCUCGUAGUCGGAUUUCGGGUAGGUGUCAGCGGUCCGCCCUUUGGUGAGUACUGCUGAUGCUUUCCUUUCUGUCGGGGACGGGCUCCUGGGCUUCACUGUCCGGGACUCGGAGUCGGCGAGGUUACUGUGAGUAAAUUAGAGUGUUCAAAGCAGGCCUACGCUCUGAAUACGUUAGCAUGGAAUAACAUGAUAGGACUCUGGCCUAUCUUGUUGGUCUGUAGGACCGGAGUAAUGAUUAAGAGGGAUGGUGGGGGGGCAUUCGUAUUUCAUUGUCAGAGGUGAAAUUCUUGGAUUUAUGAAAAGACGAACUACUGCGAAAGCAUUUGCCAACGACAUCCUCAUUGAUCAAGAAACGAAAGUUGGGGGCUCGAAGACGAUUAGAUACCGUCGUAGUCUCAACCAUAAACGAUGCCGACUAGGGAUUGCAGGGUGUUUUUUUCGAUGACCUCUGCAGCACCUUAUGAGAAAUCCAAAGUUUUUGGGGUUCCGGGGGGAGUAUGGGUCGCAAAGGCUGAAACUUAAAAGGAAUUGACGGGAAGGGCCACCCAACCAGGGCGUGGGAGCCUGCGGGCUUUAAAUUUUGACUUCAAC
rnacentral:rRNA from 1 species